AGACUUAAUUAAAUUUUCGACAUUAUGCUCAUCGGCCCAAGACAUUAAAAAUUUCAGCCCAUGUUUCUACCGCUUCUACCCUCACGCGCAAAAGUCAAACAGCCCAAUUUAUAACUCAUUACAUUGAACAAAAUAAGAAGAUAUCUCUUUAUCUCUUCAUUCAUUUUCUCUCAUCCAUCCUUUCUCUCUCUCGAAACUUUAAGUCUCGUCGUCUUCUUCCUUUGUUUCGAGGACUGAGUUUGCUCCGGUGAGAUUGCUAAUCGGCGUCGCCUCAUAUCACAAGUAACUGGGAAAAUGGCAGAUAUUGACCUUUCUUCUAGGCUUUUGCGGACUGAGAAGAACCUGCCGGUGAUCUUGUUAACAUGUACUUUAAGCUUAAUAUCAUCAAAGCCGUUCUAAAGGCCCUGGCUCCCAAGAAGAUCGAAACCAUUCGACCUAGCUUUGAGAAAAUCAUGGAUCUUUACUGAAAGCCGGUGUUCUCCGAGAAGUUGGCCCACAAUGAUGAUUCCGAGGGAGCAUGUUGAGAUGAUUCGGGAUUUGGAUGUGUUUUUGAAAUAUCCUUGGGGUCGGUACAGUUUUGAUAUGACGCUGCAAUGCAUUAAGUCUAGAUCUUUACUUCAAUUGGCUUAGGCCACUGUUGCCAUCCAAGGUUUUAUACACGCUUUGGUCCUUGUAUUUGUGGAGGCUAUGCCGGCCAUCCUUUCAGUAGGUUGUGAUAGAACCGAACCAGAAUCCGACGAUGAACAUAUGUUCCCUGUAAUUUCUUUGAAAUUAGAUAAAGUGUGGGAAUUGGAUAGAGAAGCUCAGGUCGAUGUUCUGUCUAUCAUACCUUCGGCUGAUGUUGUCACUGGGGUGGAAGAUUGCGGUUGGGUUGAUGAGGUAAGUGACCCCAGUGUUCAAGUAUUGUUAAAGCGCCUUGAAGAAGGUGCCAAGUUCAGCCGUUAGAUGUUUAUUGGUUGUAUUAGAGGUUUGGGUCAAUAUUCGAAGGACAAUUUUCCGCUGCACCCGUUGACUUUCAUUAGAAACCCAAUGAGGGUUGUGUAUUUUAUUAUAAUCUACCUAUGUUUUCUUUUGGAUUAUUCCUCUAUCCUUCUUUUUUAUUUUGAACUGUUGUUCUACCAGUCUUUCAUCUUCUGAACUAGUAGUAUCUGUAUUUUUCUUUCAAUCUGUUGGUUAUACCUUCUAACCUUUUCUGGCUCUACGUUUUAACUUUU